CGUUAAACGAGGACGGGUGGGGUAGGGGCUGGGAAAUGCAGGGGUGUCUUCUGCUCCCUCUGCAAGGAAAGCAGCCGGUCUUCAGAGCGGGGCUUCAGUCAACACGGGAGUAGGAAGCGCGUAAGAUAAAGGCACAGCUCAGUCCUCCAGAAGCAACACAUUUUAUGCAUAAACUUCAAUAGAGUUGAUGGGCUGGACAUUUCUCCCUGGAAUGAAUAAAAAAAGAAUUUCAGAACACAGGUGGUGUCAGCACAUGGAGACAAGAUGUCCUCAACACAAAAAUGAUCAGAUGGACUUUGAUUCUGUCCCUUGCGAAAACUCAUGCAUGAACCUUAUCAGCAGGAGGGACUGCUGAAAGCAGCCACCUCCAUGAGGAGUUAUUUAUGUUGGCCAUUAAGCCUGCCAAUUAACCUACCAACCAGCACAGCUUUGGGAUGUGGAAGGCAAGUGUGGCCACCCAGGAGAAGCACACACCAUCACAGCGAGAACGUGCAAACUCCACACAGACAGCACUUGAGGUCAGAGGAAGAGUUUGAGAAUUCAAUUGCUCUGCUAAAGGAAGGCAGAUGGAUUAAACCUGAGGCCCUAAAGCUACACUCUGCAAAUAUUUGUAUGCAGGUGGUUAAUGUGUUGUCAUGAAUUCUUUUGUCA